rnacentral:rRNA from 1 species
GAUGAACGCUAGCGGCGAGCCUAAUACAUGCAAGUCGAACGGGAUUGGUAGCAAUACCAUGAGAGUGGCGAACGGGUGCGUAACACGUAUAUAAUCUGCCCAUUACUCGGGGAUAGCCUUGCGAAAGUGAGAUUAAUACCCGAUGGCACUGCGAGGAGGCAUCUCUUUGCAGUUAAAGAACUUCGGUAAUGGAGGAAUAUGCGUCCGAUUAGCUAGUUGGUAGUGUAACGGACUACCAAGGCGACGAUCGGUAGGGGUUCUGAGAGGAUGAUCCCCCACACUGGUACUGAGAUACGGACCAGACUCCUACGGGAGGCAGCAGUAGGGAAUAUUGGGCAAUGGAGGCAACUCUGACCCAGCCACGCCGCGUGCAGGAUGAAGGCCCUCUGGGUUGUAAACUGCUUUUGUAUGGGAAGAAAAUGCUUCUGCGGAAGUGACUGACGGUACCAUACGAAUAAGCAUCGGCUAACUCCGUGCCAGCCGCCGCGGUAA